GAUGAACGCUGGCGGCGUGCCUAAUACAUGCAAGUCGAGCGAACAGACGAGGAGCUUGCUCCUCUGACGUUAGCGGCGGACGGGUGAGUAACACGUGGAUAACCUACCUAUAAGACUGGGAUAACUUCGGGAAACCGGAGCUAAUACCGGAUAAUAUAUUGAACCGCAUGGUUCAAUAGUGAAAGACGGUUUUGCUGUCACUUAUAGAUGGAUCCGCGCCGCAUUAGCUAGUUGGUAAGGUAACGGCUUACCAAGGCAACGAUGCGUAGCCGACCUGAGAGGGUGAUCGGCCACACUGGAACUGAGACACGGUCCAGACUCCUACGGGAGGCAGCAGUAGGGAAUCUUCCGCAAUGGGCGAAAGCCUGACGGAGCAACGCCGCGUGAGUGAUGAAGGUCUUCGGAUCGUAAAACUCUGUUAUUAGGGAAGAACAAAUGUGUAAGUAACUAUGCACGUCUUGACGGUACCUAAUCAGAAAGCCACGGCUAACUACGUGCCAGCAGCCGCGGUAAUACGUAGGUGGCAAGCGUUAUCCGGAAUUAUUGGGCGUAAAGCGCGCGUAGGCGGUUUUUUAAGUCUGAUGUGAAAGCCCACGGCUCAACCGUGGAGGGUCAUUGGAAACUGGAAAACUUGAGUGCAGAAGAGGAAAGUGGAAUUCCAUGUGUAGCGGUGAAAUGCGCAGAGAUAUGGAGGAACACCAGUGGCGAAGGCGACUUUCUGGUCUGUAACUGACGCUGAUGUGCGAAAGCGUGGGGAUCAAACAGGAUUAGAUACCCUGGUAGUCCACGCCGUAAACGAUGAGUGCUAAGUGUUAGGGGGUUUCCGCCCCUUAGUGCUGCAGCUAACGCAUUAAGCACUCCGCCUGGGGAGUACGACCGCAAGGUUGAAACUCAAAGGAAUUGACGGGGACCCGCACAAGCGGUGGAGC
rnacentral:rRNA from 1 species